UCCUCUAGGCCGGUCCGCGGGCCGCAAGGGCGAGGGAGCCAGAGCUUUUCUAAUUUCUCGAACGAUGUCCUCGGGGAGCCUAACUGGAGGGCGGCGGGAGGCUGCGUCCACGUGGGCCUCGGGACGGGCGCCGUGGCCUUGUGUCCGAGUUUGGGGGCCGAGGCCUGAGCACCGCGUGCGCCUUCGUCCGGCCGGGCAGCCGCCGUCUCGGGACCCCUGACCCCGGGCUCGCCGCUGGGAGUGAGCACCCCCCGAGAGAACUAGGGCAGACACACUCGCUUUUGGAGACGGGAGCAGCAUCGCUACCCGAGGUUAAGAGCCAGUUUGGGUUGCAAGUCAGUGAAGGGUGGCCAGCGCGUGAUCACCGACAGCUGAGGACGGGAGCCCAAGCGCUGGCCUGCUCUGAGGUUUUGAGCACUGAAGAGUGGGAUCGGCGCAGCAGAGUUCUAAAGCGGGCAGCAGUGGCAGCAGCACCGCAGCCCAAGAAGAGGCUAUGCUGCAGCAGGGGCAGAAUUUGAAGUCCAAAGGACCAGGGGCGGCCAUCAACUUGGACCCUGAAAACCUAGGCUCCCACAUUUGGUGUAGAAACACUCACCUUGUACUGAGUAUCAGAGGGACAUUCUCACCAACGAGAGAGCCAAGAAAUGGAUUUGGCAACCUUUUUCUGGGACCGCGCGCGGACUGGCACUUCUGGUGUCAUUAAAUUCAUGAGUUUUCUUGUAUCAUCCCUUAACCAAAAGGAGCUUUUGUACUUUUAAAUAUUGUAUAAAUGUGUUCUUGGGUGAGAGCCUGAGGUUUUUGAACUGGAAACUUCCUGAAAUUUGUAUCUCCAUGCAGUUAACCAUAAACAGUGUAAUAAAAGUGUGGUCUUUGGUA